rnacentral:lncRNA from 1 species
AUUCAUAAAGCCCAAGUCUGGGAAAUACAGAGUCGAUAAAUUUUAACAUCCCAGGCUUUUACUUUCAAGGCUGUAGGACACAGUAUACAUUCAUUAUCUAGGCGAUCUGGCUUCUGGGCAUCCUGGCCCUACCUGACCCCACAGAGCCUCUCUUACUUACUCAGGUGGCUCCUUGUCUGCACAAGAUAGGAAAUCAAAAGAUUUCUUGAAUUAAUUUAUUCAAUUUAUUUUUUAUGGCCACACCCCUGGCAUACAGAAGUUCCUGGGCCAGGGGUUGAAUCUGAGCCACAGCUGUGAACACACUGAGCUGGGCUGGAGAUGGGACCUGUGCUCCCCAGCAACCUGAGCGGCUUCAGUGGCAUCCUUAACCCACUAGGCCAAGGUGGGAAUUUCAGAAAGGUGUUUUGAAGAAGUGUUCAUUGUAAGCAGCUCUUAGGACCAUCAAAUCCUAAACAGUUCUCAUUUAUCCCAAAACAGGAAUUAAAUAUUGUGUUUUUAUAAUUGCUAAUUUCAGUGGUAAACUGAUACAGUGACUGACACAAAGGAACCAACUUCUGCUGUUACUCCCAAUUACCUGGUAAGUGACACAGACACGAUGUUGCACCAAAGACACCAGACACCAAACACCAAACACCAAACAGGACUUACUCUACAAAGCACUUCAUUUAGAUGAAGUUCAAGCACAGGCAAAACCUAUCUAUCUACAACCACAGAAAUUAGAAUAAUGACUACCUCUUAGGGAUGGAUAUCGACUGUCAAAAGAAGGAAUUCUUCUGAAGCACUGAGAAUGAUCUAUUAUCAAUAUUUCAUAUCUUGACCUAGCUUGUGGUUACAAUUGAGUAUAUAUGUAAAAAUUCAUACAAAUAUAUGGAUAUAUGUAAAUAUGUAUGUAAGGAUUCGUACAUGUUAAUAUAUGUCAUAUCUCAAUAAAAAUGAAAAAAAAGAUUAGCUUUCAAAAUAUUUACAAAUUUUGAAUUUGUAGAGCUCAACUAAGUAAAAUACUUCAAUAUUCUCUCACUAAGGAGCAAUAUUCCGGAACUUUGUGGCAUCACACUCUUGUCUUCUUGCCAGGUAUCAAACCCUUCCUUACCUAUUUACAAUGUAGUAGUUUGACUUGAAAGAAUGCUCAUUGAUAGAGUUCCCGUCGUGGCUCAGUGGUUAAUGAAUUCGACAAGGAACCAUGAGGUUGCCAGGUUCGAUCCCUGGCCUUGCUCAUGGGUUAAGGAUCCGGCGUUGCCGUGAGCUGUGGUGUAGGUUGCAGACGCGGCUCGGAUCCCGCGUUGCUGUGGCUCUGGCGUAGGCUGGUGGCUACAGCUCCAAUUGGACCCCUAGCCUGGGAACCUCCAUAUGCCACGGGAGCGGCCCAAGAAAUAGCAACAACAACAACAAAAAGACAAAAGACAAAAAAAAAAAAAAAAAAAAAAAAAAAUGAAAUGAAGGUAAGUAAAAAUUGAAUCUUCUUUUAUGAUAUUUCUACCUCAAUUCCUUAAACUGACUGUGCUUGCUUCUCUUGCUUGAAUCAAAGAACUCUACUUUCCCACUUAUUAAACACCAGUCUCAAAAAAAUACUGUGCUUAGUUUGAGAUUUCUUUUUGUUUUUAACCACAUAAAGGAAAAUUAAAAGGGUUUCUUGACCAUAAAAUGGAAAAUAUUUCACAUUCAGUACGACAUAUUAAAAAAAAUAAUGAGUAGUAUUAAUGAUUAAAUGUUCAAAUGACAUUUAAUGAAAGUUAGAAAGUUGAAAAUGACCAAGGAAGAGCCCAAAGCAGAAAUAAGAGAACGAAAUAAAAAAGAAGUAUGUUUUCUGAGGGGUAGGAGGAAUGAUAAGAUAAUCUUCCAAAUGAUAUUGAGAAACAAUGUAUAGCCAAACACCCGAAGGAAUGUAAGUUAUUAAAGGGAGAGAUCAGGUUUUUCCUCUAGGUAUUCCUAUGCUGUUUUUGAUACCAAAUUAGAUUACCAAUUUAAGUUUCAAAAUCAGAUGUAAAUGGGCCUCUGGCUGGACGUAAACCUAUUUCGAUGAAUGCUGAAUAAGCAUAUUUUGGCUAUUGCAGUCCAAAACAAAUACAUGUUCAGAAUACAUAAAAAGCAACACACAAAUGAUGUCAACAUUUUGCACUGCAAAGAAUCUUCUCUAUAGUCUUUUAUGUGUAAGCCUCCAAUAAUGUGCAUUGAUAAUUAUAAAAUUUAAUUGAUAACGAUAAGAAAACCUGCAACUAAAAUAUCACUGUAAAUCUAGAUUGAAAAUCACAGCAGCAGUCGUGAUGGGUUUAGAUUUAUUUGAAAAUAUAGCUUUAGUCCCAUAUUAGUUCUACAGCAGAAGCAAGCCUGCUUUUGACUCAAGAAUCACUGAAAGGGUUAACUUGCAAUCACAUGGACCCUGUUACUGGCAUAAGAAAAAAAAAAUAGAAAAACAGAAAAAUUGGAGCAGGGAAGGAAAGAAGAAGAUAGAAGGAAGUCCACUGUGGAGAGGGGUGCAGUUCCUCUAACGACUGCUCUAUAUAUAGCCAUGACCCAAGUUUCUAUCUUACCCUGGGUCAAAAGAAGAAAGUCAAAGCUGUAAUGAUACGGAAGUCAACUGAAACAUCUUGACCUGGUCAGUGAUGAUCACUAGCACUAAACUGAAAUAUUAAAAAAGCAACCCUAAUGAGCAAGAUUGGAAGAAAUAUUUCUACCCAGAUUCUGAAGCUGCAUAGUAUAUUAGAAAGACGUCCAAUCACAGAUUUAAAGAAUGUAAAUCUGACAAUUCAGCAUCUUCUUAACUGCAUCUUGAAUUCAUCUUCUGAUUAAGCAUCUCCAGGAAGGAUACUGACUUCCAAGGAAAACUUUCCUAUUUGGGGAUUGCCUUAUUCAUCAGAAAAUUCUCAUUAUGUAGAGUCAACAUUGCUGCUGAAAUGUUGAAAUUGACAUGUGGGCUGGAACCUUGAGGGGCUCUCUAUUUCACUCAGUAAUAUACAAUUGCCAGUUAGCUGCAAUUAGUGUUUGGCCACACAUCACACAACAUGGUUUGAAAAUACCAAAGUAGAAGAAGAGCUUAGGAAACAAUUUUAUAAUCUCUAAAAGUUACGUUGUUUGAAAAUUAAACGCAUUUAACAUUUAUAAGUUCUAAAGGAGAGACUCAAACGUGGGGUUGGAAAUCUCACUAUACCACCGCUCAAGGGUUUCACGGGCCUUCACAGGUCAGACAGUCUGAAAAGAGCAAUAUUUUUCAUAAUUCUGAGGACAGGGAAAAAACCCAUUGUGUUUCAUAAAGAUGCAACAGGGCAGCCACAUUUCCUCCCAUGCAUGAAUAAUGUAUGAUCUACAAUGUUAUUUGCUAGACUGUCUAAUCACCAGCAUCUUUCAAAAUGUCUAUAUAAGCUUUAGCUCAUUAAGAACAAACAUGUUAUCUGUACAAAAAUAUCACAUACCUGUGAACACUCAGAAUAAAAUUCUGCUGGAUGCCAAUGCGCAUAUCAAACUGACAUGGGUAAGCUAACUUCUGUCCAUUUCUCAAAGAUACAAAUAUUGGGAAAAGAAAUACAGAAGAAUUUAAUUUCAGUUUGUGAAAU